CUGGGCCUCAGUGCCCCCACUAGAAAAAUGGGGCCUGUCUCAGUGGGGCCCCUCUGACUCCCUGGGGUGCCCCCAAGCCCCUGUUCCAGCUGCUCUGGGAGCAGUCCUGGCCAUGUCCGCUGCACCUGCUGGGGCCCUGCAACCCCCAACUCCCACUGAACGCCCCCGAGGCAGUGGCAGCAAGAGCCGUGGUGCCUGUGCGGAGGUCUGGAGAACUGGAGGGUCCCUCCGGAGCUGCAGUCAUGCCUCUGAGAUGAACCCCUGAAACGCAGCGAAGAGCCGUGAGCAUAGUCCAUUUUCUUCUUCUUUUCGUUCACAUGCAGCGGAUCACAUGCUCUGGAAACAUUAAAACUCAAAUCCCCAAAUCGGGCUUCUACUAAGGAUAAGAGGACUCCACACAGUGAAGUGCGUGUUGCUGCCACAUGUUUUAAGCAUUUUGGAAUUACAUAGCUCUAAAUGAAACAAAUAAAACAUGUUCUUUACCAUCAGAAUGUAUAACUAGGUAACUCAUAGGCGUGUGCUUUAAAACCUUUUAAACUCUGGGUCCUCCUGGGCGUCCUGGAGCUGGAGGCACCAAGAAGA